rnacentral:rRNA from 1 species
GAUGAACGCUAGCGGCAGGCUUAAUACAUGCAAGUCGAGGGGCAGCAUGACUGUAGCAAUACAGUUGAUGGCGACCGGCAAACGGGUGCGGAACACGUACAGAACCUUCCUUCGAGCGGGGAAUAGCCCAGAGAAAUUUGGAUUAAUACCCCAUAGCAUAUUGAAGUGGCAUCACUUCAAUAUUAAAGAUUUAUCACUUGAAGAUGGCUGUGCGGCUGAUUAGGUAGUUGGCGGGGUAACGGCCCACCAAGCCUGCGAUCAGUAACUGGUGUGAGAGCACGACCAGUCACACGGGCACUGAGACACGGGCCCGACUCCUACGGGAGGCAGCAGUAAGGAAUAUUGGUCAAUGGACGAAAGUCUGAACCAGCCAUGCCGCGUGGAGG